rnacentral:rRNA from 1 species
GGGUUGUGAGGUUAAGCGACUAAGCGUACACGGUGGAUGCCCUGGCAGUCAGAGGCGAUGAAGGACGUGCUAAUCUGCGAUAAGCGCCGGUAAGGUGAUAUGAACCGUUAUAACCGGCGAUUUCCGAAUGGGGAAACCCAGUGUGACUCGUCACACUAUUAUUAACUGAAUCCAUAGGUUAAUGAGGCGAACCGGGGGAACUGAAACAUCUAAGUACCCCGAGGAAAAGAAAUCAACCGAGAUUCCCCCAGUAGCGGCGAGCGAACGGGGAGGAGCCCAGAGCCUGAAUCAGCAUGUGUGUUAGUGGAAGCGUCUGGAAAGGCGCGCGAUACAGGGUGACAGCCCCGUACACAAAAGCGCAUGUGCUGUGAGCUCGAUGAGUAGGGCGGGACACGUGGUAUCCUGUCUGAAUAUGGGGGGACCAUCCUCCAAGGCUAAAUACUCCUGACUGACCGAUAGUGAACCAGUACCGUGAGGGAAAGGCGAAAAGAACCCCGGCGAGGGGAGUGAAAAAGAACCUGAAACCGUGUACGUACAAGCAGUGGGAGCACCCUUUUGGGUGUGACUGCGUACCUUUUGUAUAAUGGGUCAGCGACUUAUAUUCUGUAGCAAGGUUAACCGAAUAGGGGAGCCGGAGGGAAACCGAGUCUUAAUUGGGCGUUAAGUUGCAGGGUAUAGACCCGAAACCCGGUGAUCUAGCCAUGGGCAGGUUGAAGGUUGGGUAACACUAACUGGAGGACCGAACCGACUAAUGUUGAAAAAUUAGCGGAUGACCUGUGGCUGGGGGUGAAAGGCCAAUCAAACCGGGAGAUAGCUGGUUCUCCCCGAAAGCUAUUUAGGUAGCGCCUCGUGAAUUCAUCUCCGGGGGUAGAGCACUGUUUCGGCUAGGGGGCCAUCCCGGCUUACCAACCCGAUGCAAACUGCGAAUACCGGAGAAUGUUAUCACGGGAGACACACGGCGGGUGCUAACGUCCGUCGUGAAGAGGGAAACAACCCAGACCGCCAGCUAAGGUCCCAAAGUCAUGGUUAAGUGGGAAACGAUGUGGGAAGGCCCAGACAGCCAGGAUGUUGGCUUAGAAGCAGCCAUCAUUUAAAGAAAGCGUAAUAGCUCACUGGUCGAGUCGGCCUGCGCGGAAGAUGUAACGGGGCUAAACCAUGCACCGAAGCUGCGGCAGCGACGCUGAUGCGUUGUUGGGUAGGGGAGCGUUCUGUAAGCCUGCGAAGGUGGCCUGUGAGGGUUGCUGGAGGUAUCAGAAGUGCGAAUGCUGACAUAAGUAACGAUAAAGCGGGUGAAAAGCCCGCUCGCCGGAAGACCAAGGGUUCCUGUCCAACGUUAAUCGGGGCAGGGUGAGUCGACCCCUAAGGCGAGGCCGAAAGGCGUAGUCGAUGGGAAACGGGUUAAUAUUCCCGUACUUGGUGUUACUGCGAAGGGGGGACGGAGAAGGCUAUGUUGGCCGGGCGACGGUUGUCCCGGUUUAAGCGUGUAGGUGUGUGUUCCAGGUAAAUCCGGUUCACUUUAACACUGAGGCGUGACGACGAGGCACUACGGUGCUGAAGCAACAAAUGCCCUGCUUCCAGGAAAAGCCUCUAAGCAUCAGGUAACAUCAAAUCGUACCCCAAACCGACACAGGUGGUCAGGUAGAGAAUACCAAGGCGCUUGAGAGAACUCGGGUGAAGGAACUAGGCAAAAUGGUGCCGUAACUUCGGGAGAAGGCACGCUGACACGUAGGUGAAGUGAUUUACUCACGGAGCUGAAGUCAGUCGAAGAUACCAGCUGGCUGCAACUGUUUAUUAAAAACACAGCACUGUGCAAACACGAAAGUGGACGUAUACGGUGUGACGCCUGCCCGGUGCCGGAAGGUUAAUUGAUGGGGUCAGCGCAAGCGAAGCUCCUGAUCGAAGCCCCGGUAAACGGCGGCCGUAACUAUAACGGUCCUAAGGUAGCGAAAUUCCUUGUCGGGUAAGUUCCGACCUGCACGAAUGGCGUAAUGAUGGCCAGGCUGUCUCCACCCGAGACUCAGUGAAAUUGAACUCGCUGUGAAGAUGCAGUGUACCCGCGGCAAGACGGAAAGACCCCGUGAACCUUUACUAUAGCUUGACACUGAACAUUGAGCCUUGAUGUGUAGGAUAGGUGGGAGGCUUUGAAGCGUGGACGCCAGUCUGCGUGGAGCCGACCUUGAAAUACCACCCUUUAAUGUUUGAUGUUCUAACGUGGACCCGUUACCCGGGUUGCGGACAGUGUCUGGUGGGUAGUUUGACUGGGGCGGUCUCCUCCUAAAGAGUAACGGAGGAGCACGAAGGUUGGCUAAUCCUGGUCGGACAUCAGGAGGUUAGUGCAAUGGCAUAAGCCAGCUUGACUGCGAGCGUGACGGCGCGAGCAGGUGCGAAAGCAGGUCAUAGUGAUCCGGUGGUUCUGAAUGGAAGGGCCAUCGCUCAACGGAUAAAAGGUACUCCGGGGAUAACAGGCUGAUACCGCCCAAGAGUUCAUAUCGACGGCGGUGUUUGGCACCUCGAUGUCGGCUCAUCACAUCCUGGGGCUGAAGUAGGUCCCAAGGGUAUGGCUGUUCGCCAUUUAAAGUGGUACGCGAGCUGGGUUUAGAACGUCGUGAGACAGUUCGGUCCCUAUCUGCCGUGGGCGCUGGAGAACUGAGGGGGGCUGCUCCUAGUACGAGAGGACCGGAGUGGACGCAUCACUGGUGUUCGGGUUGUCAUGCCAAUGGCACUGCCCGGUAGCUAAAUGCGGAAGAGAUAAGUGCUGAAAGCAUCUAAGCACGAAACUUGCCCCGAGAUGAGUUCUCCCUGAGACUUAGAGUCUCCUGAAGGAACGUUGAAGACGACGACGUUGAUAGGCCGGGUGUGUAAGCGCAGCGAUGCGUUGAGCUAACCGGUACUAAUGAACCGUGAGGCUUAACCUUACAACGCCGAAG